AACGAACGCUGGCGGCAUGCCUAACACAUGCAAGUCGAACGAGACCUUCGGGUCUAGUGGCGCACGGGUGCGUAACGCGUGGGAACCUGCCCUUAGGUUCGGAAUAACUCCCCGAAAGGGGUGCUAAUACCGGAUAAUGUCUUCGGACCAAAGAUUUAUCGCCUUUGGAUGGGCCCGCGUUGGAUUAGCUAGUUGGUAGGGUAAAAGCCUACCAAGGCGACGAUCCAUAGCUGGUCUGAGAGGAUGAUCAGCCACACUGGGACUGAGACACGCCCCAGACUCCUACGGGAAGCAGCAGUGGGGAAUAUUGGACAAUGGGCGAAAGCCUGAUCCAGCAAUGCCGCGUGAGUGAUGAAGGCCUUAGGGUUGUAAAGCUCUUUUACCCGGGAUGAUAAUGACAGUACCGGGAGAAUAAGCUCCGGCUAACUCCGUG
rnacentral:rRNA from 1 species